GUCAUUCGCGUUCGUGAAUGUGUUUACAUUUUCUAAGUUUGCUAAGUGUCAAAUUUCAAGAGUUAAUUUACGAUUUUUCAAGUGCUUAGGAUUUCCCGGGAAUGGCGUCUCGAACAUCCUCCACCUGGUUCACCUCGACCCAAAAGAAAAUUCCAAAGGAUGGUUCUGUUUGAUAAUUUACGACCUGGAACCUGACAGGUGACUCUAAGUCCAUGGGGUUGACAACGAUCUCGAGCACGCUGUAGGCAUGCCAGCCCACAUGAUGCCAUCCUGACUCCUGGAUAACCUGAAGGCAAAUCCAGCAUCUUCCGACAGGAAAAUUAAAAAACGGCACAGAUCCACACCCUUCAGAAGGACAAGGAGCAAAAAAGUUUGAAAUUCCGACGAAAUGGAGAGUCAUCAUUUCCCAUUGAUGACGAAUUGGCAGAAAUCCUUGUUGGGCACAGUUAACACACCUCCAAAUCCAACCCUCAAGACCUUGGGCUACCAAAACCUGACCAAAUACAUGUCGAAUUCGAACGUCAACUUCAGGAAUGAUGUCUGGGAGGCACAAGCAGUUCCAGUGCUGGUCUUAAAUCCCGGAUUUUUAAAAAUUUCUCUAAAAAAUAAUUCAGAGCACAAUACGCCAACAGGGAGAUGAGAAUUAUUUCAAUCAUUUUGACAAAAUCACAACACCAGUUCACUUUUAUACAAGGAAAAUAAAAGAAAACGAAAAGAAUUUUCGUGUUCCAGAAUCAAUGAAAGAUUCGAUAGGAAUGAAGAUUUGAACGAGCUUCACCGGUUCUGUAGUGGGGGAAAAGAACCCAACUUUUCGGAAUACCAAUUGCAGGAGUCUUUCGUGAGCCAGCGAGUGCACAUUGUCAUGCCUCAGAAAGAGUUCCUGGAAAUGCAUCGUAUACGUCUUAUCAGGCGCAUUUGGAGAGAAACUUGUUGGAAGAUUAGCCUCUCUACCAUAAACUAGAGUGAAGGAAGCAAAGCCUGUUGCUUCGUGAACAUUCAAAUUAUAAGAGAAAACUGCAAAUCGAGUCCAAUCAUCCCAGUCAACUUUUUCUUCGAAACUUCUGAGAUAUUCAAUCAAGUUUCAGACAUCUUCGAACCAUCGGCUGAGAGAAAAUGAGCAAUAUGGCCUUUACCCAUAUAAAUGUUAUCAUUACUGUAUGAUACACACGCGUCUGAGAUGACCAAUGCAGGAGUUUUUUGAAGAACAGCAGCAAUGUUCUUACCAUUGUGUUUGCCUUCCAUUUCCUGAAAAGCGCACAAUUCACUUUGCGUCUUUACGACAGAAGAAUUUCGUCCAACGCCCGCACCCCACAACUCAUUCAGAGCCGAUGAUGAUGUGGACAUCAAGGGCUUCUGCUUUUUGGGCACCUGAGCUAAACCAUUUUGAGCCGAUGAAGGUAUCUUAACUGGGUCCUUAAGGUCUUCAUCAGAUGAAGCCAUUAGACUGUCAUCAAUGAGAGUUGAAUCUCUCGAUUCCGGUUUGGAAUCCUUAUCUUUAAAAGGACCACCUAAACUACCGGGGUUAACGCGUUUCCAUCCCCACGAAUCUGGACCAAAAUGCUGCAGUGCAUUGGAGAUUUGAUAAUUCUGAGAGAUUGUGUCUGGAUUAUUCAUUUCACUAUUCACAACAAUCCCAGUAACGUUACUUUCCGCUGCUCUGACAUCUAGAGCCUCAAAACAAGCAAACACUCGCUCCAUUAACUCUUCUGGUUCAAUCUCGUUAUCAAAAGCUGGAAGUUACACAACAGCUAUCAGCUUUGAAUCGUAGGAAUCCAAAGUAGAUAAUAAAGGGCCCCUAUCAUUCAGUGGAUUUCUUGACAAAGCAUCAUCGUUGGAAUUCACUUUUCCAGGCUUAUACACAAUCACGUAAUCAUACUCACUCAGUUUGACUCGCCAUCUAGCCAACCUCGAGACAGGAUCCUUAAUGCUAUCCAGACAAAUUAAGGCCCUAUGGUCAGUAACGAGGACAAAUUUGUGACCAUAUAAGUAAGGCCGGAAAUAGUUGACGCAGAAGACAAUAGCAAGAAGUUCCUUCUGUAUUGUAGAAUAAUUUAUCUCAGCUCCUUGAAGAGUCCUAGAGGCAAAAGCGAUUGGCCAGUCCUGACCAAUCUUACCCUGACUGAGGACACCUCCAAGAGCAUAAUUUCAAGUGUCUGCUGUCAAUAAAAAUAGUUUUGAAAAGUUAGGAUACUGGAGCAAUGGUUCGGAACAGAUUUUAUCACGCAGGAUCUCAAAAGCUUCUUGUUCUACAGAUGCCCAACGAAAAUCAGUGCUUUCCUUCAAAAUUUGAGUAAGUGGUUUAGCCACUUUAGCGAAAUCUGGAAUAAACCUCCUAUAGUAACCUACAAGCCCCAAGGACUGUUUAAUAUUUUUCUUUUCUCUUGAAAUAGGAAAAUUCUUUAUAGCUUUAUUUUUUAAUUUUUUUUUUAUUUUUAUUUAUUAUUUUUUUUUUUUUAUUUAUUUAUUUUAUUACAUUUUUCGAGAAUCUGGUUUCACCUCU